UACGUAGGGACCGAGCGUUGUCCGGAAUCAUUGGGCGUAAAGAGCGUGUAGGCGGCCACUUAAGUCUUGCGUGAAAUCUUGCGGCUCAACCUCGAGACGUCGGUUGAAACCGUAUGGCUAGAGUCCGGAAGAGGAGAGUGGAAUUCCCGGUGUAGCGGUGAAAUGCGCAGAUAUCGGGAAGAACACCCGUGGCGAAGGCGGCUCUCUGGGACGGUACUGACGCUGAGACGCGAAAGCGUGGGGAGCGAACAGG
rnacentral:rRNA from 1 species